AAGUGAAGGCAGUGCGGAAUGGAAGAGUUAACUGUCAAGAAAAUGCUGUCUGUACACUCUAGAUUCCACAAAGAAAAUUAAGUAGCAUUCUAUAAGACAGUGCACAGUUGUCCCUUACAGAUUUGCCCAUGCUAAUGUAAUGUCUAUUUCUGAAGUCUUUUGCAUAUGAUCUUUUAACUCAUAGUCCUUUGAUGACUAAACAUAUUGUUCAGUCUACCCACCCACCCUUCCACUUCUGAUCUCUUUAAAAUUAUGAAGGUUAAGCCAGGUGUAAUUCCAGCAAGUACUGUGCCCAUGAACUACGAUCCCAACCUAAGUCACUUUUUUGUUGUUUUAAGGUAGGUCUUCCCUUCUCCCCACCACUCCCCCAAGAAAGUCUUAAAGUACUCUCAUUUAUUGGUUAUGAAUUAAAAUUCCAGGUUAACCAUGGCAUUGUUUUAUUUUCACAGUAUAUUUUUCCCUCAACCUCUCUGAAAUUAGAUUUCUCUGUAAAUAUUUCAUUUUACAUUAUAACUACUUCCUAAACCACUAAGACUAGCUGCCCACUGACUUGUACAGAUGCAAUUUCAAUUACUCAUUUAUCCAGUAUACAAAAGCCAUCAUGUGUCAGCAAUUAAAAAGCUUUCAAAGAACUUUCCAACAACACAACAAGAUGGUAAGCUCUUACUACAUAGCCCAAGCAGGUCUCAAUCUUGAAAUCUUGCUGCCUUAGCUUCCUAAGAGCUGGAAUUACAGGUAUGAUCCAGCAAACCCUGCUCCCAAAUGGCCUCUUUAAAGUAACACUUUGACAUAUAAUUCAAAAACCAUAGAACUUACUUAAACUGUACAAUUCAACUGUUUCAGUAUAUGCACAGCAUAGAACAACCAUCAUCACAAUCUAUUUAAAAUCAUUUUUCAAUCUCUAAAAAGACUCCAUAUCCAUACCAGUUAUUUGACAGAACUGACUCCUACCAGCCAAGGAAAGAACAUUUCCAAACGUUCAUUCACAGUGAGGGACAGUAUCUUGAAAUUGACCAUAGUGAGAGUAUUUACUACAGUACUGCAAUUGGAAAAUGCUGCAGAUCAGGCCUUUUCCUCCCUCUGGAGUGCUAAUAACCAUUUGUUCAUUACUUAAGAACAUAGCAUUAAAUCAAACACCCACCAGACAAGUUGGCUGUAUGUGCCUUCUGGUGUUACAUAACAAUGACACUGCAUAAUCUUCUAUGGUUGUCUGCCAAAAUACACCACCUCAAUCUAAUGAGAAAACAGGGAAAGAAA